rnacentral:rRNA from 1 species
CCAAUAGCGUAUAUUAAAGUUGUUGCAGUUAAAAAGCUCGUAGUUGAAUUUCGGGGUCAGCAGGUUGGUCGUGCCAUUGGUAUGCACUGGCUUCGCUGAUUCCUCCUUUCUGAAGAACUGUAAUGCCAUUAAUUUGGUGUUGCAGGGAAACAGAACUGUUACUUUGAAAAAAUUAGAGUGUUUAAAGCAAGCUAACGCUUGAAUACAUUAGCAUGGAAUAAUGAAAUAGGACGUUUGAUCCUAUUUUGUUGGUUUCUAGGAUCGACGUAAUGAUUAAUAGGGAUAGUUGGGGGCAUUAGUAUUCAAUUGUCAGAGGUGAAAUUCUUGGAUUUAUUGAAGACUAACUACUGCGAAAGCAUUUGCCAAGGAUGUUUUCAUUAAUCAAGAACGAAAGUUAGGGGAUCGAAGACGAUCAGAUACCGUCGUAGUCUUAACCAUAAACUAUGCCGACUAGGGAUCGGAUGAUGUUAUCUUUAAUGACUCA